UGGGGAAUUUUGGACAAUUGGGCGAAAGCCUGAUCCAGCAAUGCCGCGUGUGUGAAGAAGGCCUUCGGGUUGUAAAGCACUUUUGUCCGGAAAGAAAUCCUUGGCUCUAAUACAGUCGGGGGAUGACGGUACCGGAAGAAUAAGCACCGGCUAACUACGUGCCAGCAGCCGCGGUAAUACGUAGGGUGCAAGCGUUAAUCGGAAUUACUGGGCGUAAAGCGUGCGCAGGCGGUUUGCUAAGACCGAUGUGAAAUCCCCGGGCUCAACCUGGGAACUGCAUUGGUGACUGGCAGGCUAGAGUAUGGCAGGAGGGGGGUUAGAAUUCCACGUGUAGCAGUGAAAUGCGUAGAGAUGUGGAGGAAUACCGAUGGCGAAGGCAGCCCCCUGGGCCAAUACUGACGCU
rnacentral:rRNA from 1 species